rnacentral:rRNA from 1 species
UACGUAGGGUGCAAGCGUUGUCCGGAAUUAUUGGGCGUAAAGAGCUCGUAGGCGGUCUGUCACGUCUGCCGUGAAAACCCGAGGCUUAACCUCGUGGCUUGCGGUGGAUCCGGGCAGACUAGAGGUAGGUAGGGGAGAACGGAAUUCCCGGUGUAGCGGUGAAAUGCGCAGAUAUCGGGAGGAACACCGGUGGCGAAGGCGGUUCUCUGGGCCUUACCUGACGCUGAGGAGCGAAAGCAUGGGGAGCGAACAGG